GCCGUGAUAGCUCAGCUGGGAGAGCAGUAGACUGAAGCGGGUGGUUCGGGCACAUCCCCGGAUCAAUCUUAAUUCUAAAGGUCGCCCGUUCGAUCCGGGCUCAUGGCA